GAUGUUUUGCUAAGGUCAGCUGUUUUAUGAAAAUCAGCAGUUACAUGAAAAUAAAAAGCCAACGGCACAAUGGAUCAAAAAGGCAGAGAUUCAUGGCAGCAGCUAGUGUUCAUUUACAGAAAACUCCACAAAUGAAGUUAAUUUUACCUCAAGUCGGUUGUUCUACAUUAGAAGACUCCAAGAAAAGAGCAAUUAUCGGUUUGUUAAGUGUUUUGAUGGAGUCUUCCUCAUCGGAGAGUUACGAUGAAACCAACACCUUUCCUUUGAAUUUGUUAAGGAGGGAAGAUGCUGCCAGGGGAUUGAGUGGGUAUAGCUGGGCAGUUAAACAAGUGACGCAGAGUGGGAUUCGAAAAAAUUAGUGCAAAUUAGUCUGCCAAUGUGAACAGAUACAGAUAUCUUCAAUGAUAACAAAGUGUCUGUAGCCGCCACAUGACCAAAUAGAGAGCUCCCUUAGCCUCACAUCAGUAGUCGUAGCAAUUUAUUUAGCCGCAGUAUCCAAAAGCAUUAUAUGGUUAGUCCAAGGUACCUUUGUCAGCAACAGCAAGUGUACUUUUGUACACGGUGAUGGCAUGUAAAUCAGUUGUAGUCCGAUGCAGCCUUCGAAAUGCAUGCUGAUGCUCGGCGAAUGAAAAUUGUCCAACGAGUGGAGCGGGAGGAAUAGUCCCUCAUGCGUCUUGGAUACUGAUGAAAGAAUUGAGAUCGGUCUGUACGACUCCCCCUUACUCGUUUCUUUUUCAGGUCUCAGUAGCGAGAUCAGACUGCCCAUCUUCCAAACAUCGAGUAGUAUGAAAGUAUUCAGAUAGGCUGAGGACAGUUGUGAGGUAAUCGACUCCAGGUAGAUCCAGAUUCUUCGGCAUCUGUGUAGAGAUUCUGUCUGGAACCAGCGCUUUGAACGACUUGGCGCCACAGAUGAGAUUCGUAGCUUCGUGCGCGGUUGUUGUUGUUGUUGUAGCAGUGUGUUGUACACUGAAAGACUCCUUCGGGCCAAUGAUAGACACCAUCGGGCCAAUGCGGUAAUUUGUGAUGGCUGUCCAGCCGCACGGAUCUCACGGGUACACAAAUGGUUCCCCAUCUAGCCUUUUCACUCUCCGGUCAAUAAACUAACGUUUAACUAAGAAAAAAACCUCACAUGUAUCGCCAGCAUUUUUUAUUUUAAAAAAUUGUUUUCCAAGCAAGCAAAUAAAAAACCAACCAAAA